UCCGGCUUAUCACCGGCAGUUUUCUCAGAGUGCUCAGCUUAACCUGGUAGCAACAGAGAAUGAGGGUUGCGCUCGUUGCGGGACUUAACCCAACAUCUCACGACACGAGCUGACGACAGCCAUGCAGCACCUGUGCUCCUCCCAACUAAAUGAAGGAUUCCUUUUCGGGAAUCCAAAGAGGGCAAGUCGAGCCCUGGUAAGGUUCUUCGCGUUGCCUCGAAUUAAACCACAUGUUCCACCGCUUGUGCGGGUCCCCGUCAAUUUCUUUGAGUUUUAAUCUUGCGACCGUACUCCCCAGGCGGGAUGCUUAACGCGUUAGCUACGCUACUGAGAGGUAACCCCCCAACAGCUAGCAUCCAUCGUUUACAGCGUGGACUAC
rnacentral:misc_RNA from 1 species